rnacentral:tRNA from 1 species
GGUGAGAUGGCCGAGCGGUCUAAGGCGCCAGACUAAGGAUUAGAUGCGCACUGAAAUCUGGUCACAUUGUGGCGUGGGUUCGAAUCCCACUCUCAUCA